rnacentral:tRNA from 1 species
UGGGGGUAUAGCUCAGUUGGGAGAGCACCUGCCUUGCAAGCAGGGGGUCAAGGGUUCGAACCCCUUUAUCUCCA